CAGAGAUUAAAUUCUCUAAAUCCGGUGUUUGCGCUCGCGAUUGAUUCUAAUCGGGACACGAAAUUGACCUUUACUGAUCGGAGGCAUCCCAGAAGGUAAGGAAUGCGUUGGUGGGGCAUUAAAAUACCUAACAUCCGACGAUUCUGUGGUGAGCCGGUACUAAAAAAUCCUCUUGUAAGGGAUCUCUUCGAUGCCGAUCAAUCGGAUGAGCAUCGGUGGCAUAAUUGCAAUUUUCCCAGGGAACCCAACCCCAGCAGCAGCAGGAGCUGUUGGGACAUGGUGGUUUCCAGUCAGCCAUCGACGACGACAGCUGGAAUGGUAUCCGUUCAGCGAGUGACAUCACGAGCCUAUAGAAGGAAUCGCAGGUUGAUUUUACACAUGGAGCCAGGCAAUAUACAAAGAAGAUUUCGAUUCAGCAAAGUGAUCACUUAAAACGGGUUGGCGCUAUGCUCACUCCCACAUCAACUGGAAAUCAUUCGUUCGUAGGAAUCAAUGUUUUCCACGUUCUGGAGCAGGUUCUUGCGGCCUUUGCGUUGCAUUCAGAAAGGGAGGCAACAAUAGUUACAAACAAGCCUGACAGAAUUUCAUGGUACAUCGAAUUCGAGUGUUUGCGUCCGAGGUUCCGAGUGCAUUAAAUGCAAAUUGAAGUCAUAAAACAAACGCAGCUGCAGCUAAAUAUAUCAAUGGAAGAUUUGAAGCUGGUAAUUGAUAUCGAAUCGAAGAUUCGAGAAGUCGCACAGAAACAGGAUUACUAAGCCGAGGUGGGCCAUCAAAAUACCAAACAUCCGUCGAUUAUGUGGGGCGCAUACGAUAUCGCCCAAGGAUUGCGCUGAUGCUGAACGACCUCGUACGGAUCUGUUCGAUGCUGAUCACCGCAGAUUUCAUCUGUAAAUCCUUCCCAUCCACAGCAGCACCAGAAGCUGUUGGAACAUUCCGUGAUACUGGUGCUUUAUCAAUCGACGACGAUGGCUCGAGCGUAACAGGUCCUACAUCUGAAACGGGACACAAGGUUGCUGACGGGGAUCAUCCAUUCGAGUACCAUGAAUGCUUUCUCGACCAAGUGCAAUGAAGUUUCGAGCUGUGAAACGCAAACAAGAAAGGAGAAUUGAGGGACCAUGCACUGAACAACGGCAGCAAGCAUUCGUCGAAAGUGUGUAGAAUUUUUCGUAAUAAUGGUAAGAUUUGUACAGUUCUCAUUAAAAUCCCUUAUUUAAAGACAAAGCCACUGUACUUACAAAAAGUUGGUAAGUCAGUUAAAAUUG